AUUCCAACAAGGGUCAGAUACUUUCUCCCUUAACAGGAUUGACUCUCAUUCUGUUCCCCAAGUCUGAUGUCAAGGUGAUGGACUUUACAGUUUGUGAAUUAGGGAAGCAACAGUAGGUGAUGAUGGCCUCCGUUACUGGUAGCCGUGUGUAUGGUUAGGCACCAGAUUCCUGACAAAUGGUUGGCCCCUGGGAUUUCUCCUUUGUACAGUCCAGCCUGUCCCCUACCCCUACCCAGUCCUCCAGACUGUUUCUGUGAGCUUGUCCAGUGAAAGUCAAACAUUGAUCUCCUAACCCCAGGGAUCCCGUCUGAUUAUUCGGCAGAGUUGUUUCCUUAUUUUCUUCCCCUUGUACCCCCGUGGGAUCCCCACUCUUUGGCAUCUCCAUUCCUGACUAGUCUUUUGAUAAUCAAAGGGAAAUUAAUAUUUCCUAAAUGACUGUCCAUCAACCCAAAGCUUAGUAGAAACUUUGAAAGUUCAUUUUUCAAUGAUAACAGAAAACACAGGAGGAGGGGGAGAGGACAUGUGUUAAUAUUAUUUGUCUUUCCAAUGCAAGCUGCAUGGUCACACGUAUUCUAUUUUUGUUGCAGUAUAAUAGUGCCCUGUUAUUCAUAGGGGAGAUGUUCCAAGACCCCUAGAGGAUGCUUGAAACCAUGGAGGACCAAACUCUAUACUGUGGGCUGGGCGCAGUGGCUCCUGCCUGUAAUCCCAGCACUUUGGGAGGGUGAGGUGGGUGGAUCACCUGAGGGCAGGAGUUCAAGACCAGCCUGGGCAACGUGGUGAAACUCCAUCUCUACUAAAAAUACAAAAUUAACUGUGUGUGAUGGCAUGUGCCUAUAAUCCCAGCUACUUGGGAGGCUGAGGCAGGAGAAUUGCUUGAACCUGAAAGGCAGAGGUUGCAGUAAGCCGAGAUUGUGCCACUGCACUCCAGCCUGGGUGAUAGAGUGAGACUCCAUCUCAAAAACAAAAACAACAACAACAAAACCCCCAAAACUCUAUACUGUGUAUAUUAUGUUUUUUUCUGAUCUGAUAACCAAGAUGGCUACUAAGUGACUAACAGGCAGGUAACAUAUAUAGAGUCGAUAUGCUGGACAAAGGGAUGGCAUGGGAUGGUGCAAGAUUUCAGCAUACUUGUCAGAAUGGUGCAACACUUAAAAUGUAUUCAUUGUUCCUGGAAUUUUCCAUUUAAUAUUUUCAGACCACAGUUGACCAUGAGUAACUGAAACUGCAGAAAGCAAAACCUCAAAUAAGGCAGGACUGCCAUGACGGUGGGGCUGCAGAGUGUUACACAAUGUUAAUGUGAAAAGCGGGUAUUGAUUUUUCCCUUGAAAGAAUUGUUACUUGCCCUAGGGUCAGGGCAUGGAGGUGGAGUGGUACAGGGGGAUGGUAAGGCAGAGAGGGAGAGGGAUGGUUCUGGGACAUUUGGCAGAGAAUGGAAACUUCAGCUCCCUGCCAGGCUGGGAGUGUUCUAGGGCAGGGGUGCUUUGGAAAUGGUGGCUUUGUGAGAAUGUAUUACCUUGAGGAGCUGCAGAAUUCAAGAGAGUGGCCAUGUCCUAGUUAGUGGGAAAAAGG
ensembl:lncRNA